rnacentral:rRNA from 1 species
AACCGGAGCUAAUACCGGAUAAUAUUUUGAACCGCAUGGUUCAAAAGUGAAAGACGGUCUGGCUGUCACUUAUAGAUGGAUCCGCGCUGCAUUAGCUAGUUGGUAAGGUAACGGCUUACCAAGGCAACGAUGCAUAGCCGACCUGAGAGGGUGAUCGGCCACACUGGAACUGAGACACGGUCCAGACUCCUACGGGAGGCAGCAGUAGGGAAUCUUCCGCAAUGGGCGAAAGCCUGACGGAGCAACGCCGCGUGAGUGAUGAAGGUCUUCGGAUCGUAAAACUCUGUUAUUAGGGAAGAACAUAUGUGUAAGUAACUGUGCACAUCUUGACGGUACCUAAUCAGAAAGCCACGGCUAACUACGUGCCAGCAGCCGCGGUAAUACGUAGGUGGCAAGCGUUAUCCGGAAUUAUUGGGCGUAAAGCGCGCGUAGGCGGUUUUUUAAGUCUGAUGUGAAAGCCCACGGCUCAACCGUGGAGGGUCAUUGGAAACUGGAAAACUUGAGUGCAGAAGAGGAAAGUGGAAUUCCAUGUGUAGCGGUGAAAUGCGCAGAGAUAUGGAGGAACACCAGUGGCGAAGGCGACUUUCUGGUCUGUAACUGACGCUGAUGUGCGAAAGCGUGGGGAUCAAACAGGAUUAGAUACCCUGGUAGUCCACGCCGUAAACGAUGAGUGCUAAGUGUUAGGGGGUUUCCGCCCCUUAGUGCUGCAGCUAACGCAUUAAGCACUCCGCCUGGGGAGUACGACCGCAAGGUGAAACUCAAAGGAAUUGACGGC